AUCGAAAAGCAUGUGAAACUUCACUGGCAGAGAGUUAAAGUUGCCAGAAUAUAGUUCUUCUGAUUUCUUGCGCUCGUUUUCUUGGAGAUGAUAAUCUCCCGCAACCCCACAGCAUCAUCGGCGUGCAAUGCCGACACCCAUUCACACAAGCCCAAAAGAAUCGAGAAACUCACAGCAAGAUUACAAAGCAAGAACAGGACAAUUAACAACCACCGGCAACAAACAAAUUCAAUGCUGCCUCAUCAACAAGAAAAACAAGAAACAUGAGCGAUGGAGUUUCGAGAGACUCACAGGAUGAUCCCGCACGAAGCAUCGAAGAGCCCGCCUUGAACUCUAUCCAGCAAGCCCUCGAAUCUGUCACCAACACUCUGUCCGUCCGCCUCGCCUCGCCUCCGCCGCCGUGUGCAGUCCAGUCGCCCACCUUCCUCUGUCUCUCCGUACCGUGAACGAUGAUCCGCUGCACAGGCAGCCACAUCUGGCUCCGCCCCUUUUCGAUCGAGCCAAAUCAGGCACCGCUGGCUCGACCGCGGCUCCGUCGACAGAGAAAAAGGGAAUGAGUAGACGAAGGA
rnacentral:lncRNA from 1 species